rnacentral:rRNA from 1 species
AGCCUACGGGAGGCAGCAGUGGGGAAUAUUGCACAAUGGGGGAAACCCUGAUGCAGCAACGCCGCGUGAGUGAAGAAGUCAUUCGUGAUGUAAAGCUCUAUCAGCAGGGAAGAAAAUGACGGUACCUGAGUAAGAAGCCCCGGCUAACUACGUGCCAGCAGCCGCGGUAAUACGUAGGGGGCAAGCGUUAUCCGGAUUUACUGGGUGUAAAGGGAGCGUAGACGGGGUAAUAAGUCAGAUGUGAAAUCCUGUAGCUUAACUACAGAACUGCAUUUGAAACUGUUACUCUGGAGUGUGGGAGAGGG